rnacentral:rRNA from 1 species
GGCGGCGUGCCUAACACAUGCAAGUCGAACGGACUGAUCCCUUCGGGAUGAAGUUAGUGGCGGACGGGUGAGUAACGCGUGAGCAACCUGCCUUUCAGAGGGGAAUAACGUUUGGAAACAGACGCUAAUACCGCAUAACGCAUAGGUGUCGCAUGGCAUUUAUGCCAAAGGAGCAAUCCGCUGAAAGAUGGGCUCGCGUCCGAUUAGAUAGUUGGUGGGGUAACGGCCUACCAAGUCGACGAUCGGUAGCCGGACUGAGAGGUUGAACGGCCACAUUGGGACUGAGACACGGCCCAGACUCCUACGGGAGGCAGCAGUGGGGGAUAUUGCACAAUGGGCGGAAGCCUGAUGCCAGCAACGCCGCGUGAGGGAAGACGGUUUUCGGAUUGUAAACCUCUGUCUUUGGUGACGAAGAAAUGACGGUAGCCGAGGAGGAAGCCACGGCUAACUACGUGCCAGCAGCAGC